GUUUCCAUCACCCUGCAGAGGCGUCUGUGCGCUGUGUGUGCGGGAGAGCGGGAGGAACCGGCCAUAAAUCCCCCAAGGCGCGAUCGCUGCGCUCCCGCCCGGCUGCCAGCGGCAGAGCCGAAGGGCUGACACUCGACAGGCUGUGGAAAAACGCGGGGUGGCAUCACACAGAGACACCAGCCCGCUGAUUGAUCUCCCAGACCCACCUGGGAGCCUGCUUGCCAGAAGGAGAAAUGGCACAAGAGGAAAUACAUCUUCACAGCCUCGAGAGAGGAGAAGGUUGGAAUCUGAGUCCAUAAACAGCGUUGCUGUGCAGUGAGCAAAGACAGAGCAGGUUGGGCUCUGGAGAGUGUAACCCCACCUCUGCUGCUCCCCUGCCAAUUAAAAGUAAAGAAGAGAAGUGGAGCUUGUUUGU
rnacentral:lncRNA from 1 species